rnacentral:rRNA from 1 species
GAAAUCUAAUGGCUUAACCAUUAAACUGCUUGGGAAACUGAUAGUCUAGAGUGAGGGAGAGGCAGAUGGAAUUGGUGGUGUAGGGGUAAAAUCCGUAGAUAUCACCAAGAAUACCCAUUGCGAAGGCGAUCUGCUGGAACUCAACUGACGCUAAGGCGCGAAAGCGUGGGGAGCAAACAGGAUUAGAUACCCUGGUAGUCCACGCCCUAAACGAUGUACACUAGUUGUUGGGGUGCUAGUCAUCUCAGUAAUGCAGCUAACGCAUUAAGUGUACCGCCUGGGGAGUACGGUCGCAAGAUUAAAACUCAAAGGAAUAGACGGGGACCCGCACAAGCGGUGGAGCAUGUGGUUUAAUUCGAAGAUACGCGAAGAACCUUACCUGGGCUUGAUAUCCUAAGAACCUUUUAGAGAUAAGAGGGUGCUAGCUUGCUAGAACUUAGAGACAGGUGCUGCACGGCUGUCGUCAGCUCGUGUCGUGAGAUGUUGGGUUAAGUCCCGCAACGAGCGCAACCCACGUAUUUAGUUGCUAACGGUUCGGCCGAGCACUCUAAAUAGACUGCCUUCGUAAGGAGGAGGAAGGUGUGGACGACGUCAAGUCAUCAUGGCCCUUAUGCCCAGGGCGACACACGUGCUACAAUGGCAUAUACAAUGAGACGCAAUACCGCGAGGUGGAGCAAAUCUAUAAAAUAUGUCCCAGUUCGGAUUGUUCUCUGCAACUCGAGAGCAUGAAGCCGGAAUCGCUAGUAAUCGUAGAUCAGCCAUGCUACGGUGAAUACGUUCCCGGGUCUUGUACUCACCGCCCGUCACACCAUGGGAGUUGAUUUCACUCGAAGCCGG